GACGUAGGGCGCGAGCGUUGUCCGGAUUUAUUGGGCGUAAAGAGCUCGUAGGCGGCUUGUCGCGUCGUCCGUGAAAACUUGGGGCUCAACCCCAAGCUUGCGGUCGAUACGGGCAGGCUCGAGUUCGGUAGGGGAGACUGGAAUUCCUGGUGUAGCGGUGAAAUGCGCAGAUAUCAGGAGGAACACCGGUGGCGAAGGCGGGUCUCUGGGCCGAUACUGACGCUGAGGAGCGAAAGCCAGGGGAGCAAACGGG
rnacentral:rRNA from 1 species